UCCCCAGGCCUCUGUGUGAAAUUACAGUGCCUAUUCCUUAAUUAAGGAGGGAAUUAAUGUUUCAAGAGGCUUUCUAGCUUUCACGAUCAGUACUGCAAUUCCAUUUCACAAAUAACUUUCAUGAGUACCCAAAAAGAUUGGUCAUCAUGUCCUUCAACAGCAACAUGGAAACAUGACGCUUUCCUCAGUUUCAGAGGCAAUUUUCUACAAAGUGGAUCCAUCUGAUAUACGGAUACAAAGGAACACAGUUCGAGCCUUUGUUAAACAUGAAAUCCGUUUUAAGAAGAAUCUAAAGGAGGUGCAAAGGUGGAAAGAUGCUUUGAAAGAAGUUGCCAAUAUCUCUGGAUGGCAUUUACAAAAUAGGACCUGGUUAGGGAGCUAUACUCUCCUGAAGUGGCUGCUCAAAUUUCAACUGAUACACUGAUAUGGCCUCAUGUAACACAUGGACGAUAUUUGAUCAAAAUAGCCUACCAAUUGCUGCAUGCGUUGGAAGUAAGGGAUCAGGUAUUCAAAAGCCUAUGAUAUACAAGUGGUGGAUCAAAGUAACUGCUGGAGAGUGAGUACCAGCACUAGUGUAUCUAGUUGUGGAGGAGUUACUAACAGUUGAGGAGCACUAGCAAAGAGAUUGCAAAUGGAUUGGUUUUGUCCCUAUGCAGCAAAAUCAAGUUUUGGCAGGAAUAAUUAUUAUAGUCUGUUGUAGUUACUGCCAUUUGAAACUGAAUGGAAGCUCAAUCCCUGACCGUUCAAAGUGCAUUAACAAAAGCUGAUUGAAGACCACUAGUGCAUGGAAGUUGGAAAACGCUAGUGGUUCAUAUAUGCUGUGCUUGGGGGAGUCACUGCAAAGGCAAUGGCCCUGCUGCUACUCGCUUCAAAGUCUUAUGAACAUCUUUUGGGGCUUGUAACUUUACUACCAGCCAACUCUUACUGCAUUUUUGUACCAAAAAACCAAAGGCAGAAAAAAAGGCUAUCUUUGCACCUUUUUUGGACUAAUUUAUGUCAA